rnacentral:lncRNA from 1 species
UUUUUUUUUUUUUUUUCUGUAAGAGAAAUCACAGCUGCUUUGGCAGCUGCAGGUGUGAGGAGCUAAGGAUGUUUCCUCUUUGCUUUUUAUUUCCUCUGGCUGUAGUGGGGGACAUCAAAUAGACACCAAACACUCUGGAAAUGUUUCUCCCCUGUGUCAUUCCCACUGUGGGCUGGUAUUACUAAGAAACAAGAGACAAAAAGCUGAUAUUGGCCGUGGGUGAAGAACAAAGGUUCAGGGUUCCCACAAAAGCAGGAUUUUUUCCUGAGCCCUACAAUCAUUUAUUAGCUGUAACCUUCAGGGAAGGUGCUUCAUCAUGCCAAAUACUUGCCUCUCCCUUCAUUUCUCUUAGGGUAACAUUGCAAAUUUCUCUCUUCAUUAGCAAACAGGAAAAAAAAUUGCCAGCUUUCACCAUACCCGUUAUGUCUUGUUAGCACUUUCCAGGUGUUUUUCCUUCAUGCUGUCUCCACCAUUGCAUUUCCCAUCCUCUCAUUAAUAUCUACAGAGGUCUGGUCCAAGGCAGGUCAGUGCCUGGUAGCAAUAUUUUAUGUUCAUGGUGCUCAGAAUAAAACCUGUCCUCCAAUCCCUUGUCACUCUGUGACACCUCAAGCACAAGUUUUCCAAUUAAACUGGUACUACAUCUCUCCUGUAUUCCUCUGCUGGCAUUGCUGUGGUUUGUGUCUUGCUGGGCUUUAUCCUCAGCUGUUACUUCAUUGACUUUUUUCCCAGCAGAGAGUUUUGUUUGUCAAGAAGAGUAAAUGAAGUAAUCAUUUGGUAGACUUAGCAUUUAAAUACUGCGUGACAUUUAUAUGUGUGUGUAUAUAUAAAAAAUGGUUUUUAUGGCAGAGUGCCGCGGGGCAUUUGCAUGAAGCACAUCUCAAUGUAUAUUUGACUGUUGAUUUAAAUACACGGUAUGUAAUAAGUUAUUUUUAGUGUGUAUUGACUUCUUUCUAUAUUGGAACAAUAUACCAUCCCUGGCAGGGUUUUGUUGUCUCUGUUGUGGGCACAGUUGGACACUGGAGACGCUGAGGUGUGACCUUGUCCUAUUUCCUCCUUAUUUUCCAUGAGGUGGGAGUUGCUCCCCUCAGGAGCUUUGUGGGUGGACAGAGGUUGCUCCUGGGUUUUUUUUUUUUUUUUUGCCACAGGACAGUGUUGUGAGCCUCCUACUGCAUCUCCCUCCUGGUGCUUAGUGGAACAUUUCAUAUUCUCCUUUCCCUGCUGUCAUCUCCUCAGCACAGAGAGCUGCUUGGUGUUUGGAGUGAUUCAGCCCCGUGGCUGAGGGAGCACCAGGAGCAAUGGAGAUCUCAGCUCCCCUUUCCCAGCCUGAGAUCACAGAACCACAGAAUGCUUUGGGCUGGAAGGGACCUUAAAGACCAUCUCAUUCCAUCCCCCUGCCAUGUGCAACCUCCCACUAGACCAGGUUCCUCAGAGCCCCAUCCAACCUGGCCUUGAACACUUCCACAACCACUCUGGACAAGCACAAAAUUUAUCUAUGAAUUGUUUACUUUAAGAAAUAACAAUACAAGCAAAUUAAUAAAAAUGCCACAUCCUUAACUUCUGUUGUUGCAAAGGCAAGUCUUCUAGAGCUUGCAUUUAUUGAUGAAUUAUUUUUAUGGUAAAUAAAUCUAUAAAGGGAGAACUUUUCCUACUGUGAAAAUUAUAAAAAACAAAUUUAUAUGUCCUUUUCACUUUUGUAAAGUUCAAAGAUUUGCACUGAAAAUUGUACCUUGAAUCUAGUUACUGAAUGGUUGGUAUUGACUAGUGAGGGGCCACUGUGAGCAUUGUUUCACUUGCUGGGUAUGUGAUUGAAAGAGAUAUCUGCAGUGCAAAACUGUGAUAAAAAAUGAAAAGUACAAGGAAAAGAUGUUUAGAUAUUCAACUGGAAAUCUGGUAUGGGUUUAUUCUUAGCUUUUCAUGUAUUUGACAAUGAAACAUUUUUUAUUUUACUUAAGUGCUAACGUGCAUGAUCAUACAAUAUAUUGCCUCUUGCUAAUUAUAUGCUGCGUUAGGAAUACUAAUGUCUAGAUGAUAUCUGACUGGAAAAAAAAAUCAGCAUUAAACCCAGCUUCUGCAGAAUUCUGGGCUGAAACUACCCCUGCACACACACAGCUGUCCACACCUUAGAAACAGUCUUAUUUUGUUAUGGAGAAUGCUGCUGUUACAGGUUUAUCAAUAAAAUAGAAGCAGAUGGCUCAUGUAGACAUGCAAACCCAGCCUAUCUUCCUUUUUGUUCUGGCUGUGGCAGAACGGAGUGAAUAUUCAUCCAGGAGAGAUGUUCUUUGUUCAGAGCAGGGCUGCAGGUGCCUGGUGCAUAAUGCAGGACUGGGAGGAAUGGGAAAGAAUAAAAUUGGGUAUUUAUUGAAGGCCUUCACUAGGGACACCUUGGGCAGUCAAAGCCUCUGAGGGGCUACACCCAAGAUGGAAAUAAGUCACAAGAUUUUCAUACAGUUACAAGUUCGGUCUAUUUACAUAUCAGGGGUUAAUUCUCCAUUUACAGUUUCAGGUAAUGAAGUGAUUUACUCCAAGUUUGCCCCCCAAUUCACUGUUAUUUGCAUCUCUCAGGUCUGAGACAAUGAGGUGUCCUUGAGUUUCAGGCCUAGAGAGGAAUUGUUUGUCUGAACAAAAGGGGAGAACAGCAGCUGACAGGCUAUGGAGUUUUAGAGUUACACACUAAAGCAGUACAGGACCUGAAAAAUAGAAAAGCUAAAUCCUAAAGCAUCACCCUCAUGUCUCUGCUUCCCUCUGCACAGAGCCAUCCAGCCAACUCUGUGUGGGGAAGGAAAAGUGCUGGCUGUGCCUUUGACAUCUGUCCUUCCCUGCUGUCUCAUCCAGCCCUGGCAGGAGGUGGGAGAGAAGCCCCCCAGCCCCCUCUGUGGUGGGACCCUGGCUUCAGCAGUUCUCCUGCACACCAGUGAUGUGGUGGCACACGGAGCCAGUGCCACCAGUGUCCCUGCUGUCUGCAGACACCAGCCUGGGAUGCCCCCAUCAAAGUUGGGGUGGCCACUUGGUGGAAACAAAGGUAAGAGCUCUAAUGAUGAGGUGGAGAGGUGAAAUUAGGCCAACAAAGGGUGUGUCUGUGUCUGGUGGCUGCUUUUGUUUGCAUCCACCUUUGGUCAUGACGUAUUUGUGAGUGGUUUACUUCUGGCAGGUUGCAGUUGUAAUUGCUGCCCACAUUAAGAUGGAGAACGAUAGAAGCUAAAAAAAUUCCCAGAUUGGAAUUUUGACUUUGAACUGGGGUUAGUUUGCUCCUCUCAGAAUAGCAGUGCCAGAUUUGAGGGAGACAUGAGAAACCACAAUUUCUGCAGCCCUGCUGGCACCCACAGGGUUGGCUUUCCAGGACCAGCCCUGAAAUAGAGUUUCUUUUUCUGGCAGUGGUGGCUUCAGUGCUUGGAAACCUCAGAAAAGGCAGUUGAUACAAGACAUGUCUGAGGACACAGCAAACCCAGCCCAGGGGGCCAUCUUAAAGACAGUGGAGAAAUGGGAUAUGCUGGGAGGUUCAGAGAAAAACGAGGGAGUUUGGAAAAACUCCCCCACCUUGGUGUAAACUAGGGGUGAAAUACAUGUUUUGCUAAGGGCUGAUGUUUGUGGGUGACCUGCCUCAGCUGGCAGGGCUGCAGGGUGGGCUGGGGUUUGCUCUGGGUGGCAGCAGUCCCCCAGCAGCUCCUCCAGGCACAGAAGGGGGUCUGCAGAGCCAGGCACUGCCUGCUCAGGGAUUUGGGAGCUCAGGUGGGUGCCAGGGCAGCAUUUUCCUGGCUCGGUUACCCUAACACUGUUUCACCCCGUGCAAUUUCUGAAAACCAGUUCAAAUUCUCCUUGCCCAACCAAGCAGCCUCAGCUCCCCCACCAAGUCACCCUUCUCCUCCCCAGCCCCCGGUGCCGAGGGAUGCCGGUGAUGGCUCUGGGGGACUUGGGCACUGCUGGGAGCAUCACACUUGCUCUGCUGUUCCUACAGCAUCAUCCUGGCCUUGUGGGAGUGUCCUCAGCCUCAGGUGGGUUUUCCCAGGUUGAUUCAGGGCUAACCAGCCCAAGGUUUGUUCCAUUCCUGCAGGCAGGCUUGCCUGUGACCCCGUGUGAGCUCAGCACACUCCACCAUGGAGCUGCUGCCCUGAACUCGGGCAGAGGCCACGGGGCCAUCGGUCUUGGUGCCAGCACUUGGUCAGCUUGGCCCAGAUGAGUCUGCCCAUGGAUUUGGUAGUAAAAACUCAGGUUUGUGCUCAUGCAAAUGCAAGGGUUUAGCACUCCACUUGCUGCUCCUGCUGGGACACCACUGCUCAGCACGAGCACGUGUGGGCCCCGCCGGGCUCCUGGCUGGGUUAUGUUUUAUCGUUCUGAUUAUCCUGUCCUUCCUCCAGCUGCAUUUUAAUUCUUUAGAAUGACUUCAUCCCUUGGCAAAGCACCAAGUGCUGCUUUGUCAAGGCAUCUUUUUUUUUUUUUUCAUCCUAAUUUUGACCACUUGGAAAAGUCACAUUUUUAAUGUCAGGAAACUAAGUUUUGAAUUUCAGUGAAAGAGUGAUAUCAUUUUUCACGAGAGGGUGAAAGCAUUCCCACUUCUCAAUCAGCUCAGUGGAGGCUAAAGCUGAGCUGUCUGCCAUCUGUCUCCUCGCCAGUCUCUCUUCCACCACCAUCACUUUUUAACAGGUUGGCCAAUUUCAAUCACAUUUGAGAGCAGGGUAGCUGUCUCAAAGACAGUUAUGCUUCUACAGAUUUUGUCAGCUGGCAGAGGAUCAUUUCCAGAGAAGCAGAAAGGAGUGGGUUUGAUGGCCAAGGGUUGGUGAGCUGGUCCAUUGUGACAGCUCCAGCAUGUGCUGCCUCUGGUCAAGCUGGGGGUGUCCAAGGGGACAUGGUGGAAUUUGGCUGGGGAUGUGGGGAGAGCGUAGGGAGUAAAGAGCACAGAUAUGUAAGAAAAUGAACUUCAUUUUUUCUUCUCUUCCCCAGCUUGUUUCAGAAGGUUUUAAAGAGUUUUUCUCAAAUGUAAAAAAAAAAA